rnacentral:rRNA from 1 species
GAUGAACGCUGGCGGCGUGCCUAAUACAUGCAAGUCGAGCGAACGGACGAGAAGCUUGCUUCUCUGAUGUUAGCGGCGGACGGGUGAGUAACACGUGGAUAACCUACCUAUAAGACUGGGAUAACUUCGGGAGACCGGAGCUAAUACCGGAUAAUAUUUUGAACCGCAUGGUUCAAAAGUGAAAGACGGUCUUGCUGUCACUUAUAGAUGGAUCCGCGCUGCAUUAGCUAGUUGGUAAGGUAACGGCUUACCAAGGCAACGAUGCAUAGCCGACCUGAGAGGGUGAUCGGCCACCCUGGAACUGAGACACGGUCCAGACUCCUACGGGAGGCAGCAGUAGGGAAUCUUCCGCAAUGGGCGAAAGCCUGACGGAGCAACGCCGCGUGAGUGAUGAAGGUCUUCGGAUCGUAAAACUCUGUUAUUAGGGAAGAACAUAUGUGUAAGUAACUGUGCACAUCUUGACGGUACCUAAUCAGAAAGCCACGGCCAACUACGUG